rnacentral:rRNA from 1 species
AGAGACAGCAGUAGCCGCGGUAAUACGUAGGGUGCAAGCGUUAAUCGGAAUUACUUGGCGUAAAGCGUGCGCAGGCGGUUGUGUAAGACAGGUGUGAAAUCCCCGGGCUUAACCUGGGAACUGCGCUUGUGACUGCACAGCUAGAGUAUGGCAGAGGGGGGUGGAAUUCCACGUGUAGCAGUGAAAUGCGUAGAUAUGCGGAGGAACACCGAUGGCGAAGGCAGCCCCCUGGGCCAACACUGACGCUCAUGCACGAAAGCGUGGGGAGCAAACAGGAUUAGAGACCCCAGUAGUCCCUGUCUCUUAUAC